rnacentral:lncRNA from 1 species
GCUGGGGUGCCUGUGCGGUGAUCUGUGGGCGGGCUGGGGUGCCUGUGCGGUGACCUGUGGGCGGGCUGGGGUGCCUGUGCGGUGAUCUGUCGGCGGGCCAGGGUGUGAUCUGUUGGCGGGCCGGGGUGUGAUCUGUUGGCGGGCCGGGGUGUGAUCUGUGGGCGGGCUGGGGUGACUCUGCAGUGAUCUGUCGGCAGGCUGGGGUGUGAUCUGUCGGGCUCGGGUGUGAUCUGUCGGCGGGCUGGGGUGCCUGUGCAGUGAUCUGUCGGUGGGCUGAGGUGUGAUCUGUGGGCAGUUUGGGGUGCCUGUGCAGUGAUCUGUUGGUGGGCCGGGGUGUGAUCUGUUGGCGGUCUGUGGUGUGACCUGUCAGCGGUCUGGGGUGUGAUCUGUCAGCGGGCUGGGGUGCCUGUGCAGUGAUCUGUUGGUGGGCUGGGUGUGAUCUGUUGACGGGCUGGGGUGUGAUCUGUCAGUGGGCUGGGGUGUGAUCUGUGGGCGGGCUGGGGUGUGAUCUGUCGGCGGGCUGUGGAGUGAUCUGUCGGUGGGCUGGCUGCCUGUGUGGUGAUCCGUCGGCGGGCUGGGGUGCCUAUGUGGUGAUCUGUCAGCAGGCUGGGGUGUGAUCUGUCUAUGGGCCAGGGUGUGAUCUGUUGGUGGGCUGCAGUGUGAUCUGUCGGGCUGGGGUGUGAUCUGUCCGCGGGCCGGGGUGGGAUCUGUUGGUGGGCUGCGGUGGGACCUGUCAGCGGGCUGGGGUGUGAUCUGUCAGCGGGCUGGGGUGUGAUCUGUGGGUGGGCUGGGGUGCCUGUGCAGUGACAGUCUGCUGUGCACUGGGGGGUUGGAAGGUCGAGGCCACUGGUGACAGAGGGGAAGCUCCUGAGAGGUUUACUUAAAAGUAAAUGAGGGAUGUUGUUUGGCCUUUGCCCAUUUUGACCAACCAGCUUAUUGUUUUUUUCUUGCAACAACAAAAUACACACAUAGCUAUAGACACAUUUUAAUUAUAGAAAGGAUUGCAGGGAAAAUACCUUUAUUAUUGUGAGUCUAAAAUUCUUUAGCCUUUAACUCACUUUUUUCCCGUUGAAAUAAUUGUUUUUUUAAUGUGGUGUUUGAAACACCUAUGUUUUUAGAAGUUGAAAUACAGCAGAAUAGAUGCUCUUUUUAUACAUACGUGUGUGUGUAGGUAUGUAUCUAUACACACGUGUGUACACUGAUAUACAUACACAUAUAUGUAAUUUUAAAAAUAGGAUCGUAUUAAACAUAUGAUCUUACAUUUUGCAUUCUUUAUUUAAUAGCACAUUCUAAGUAUUUCCUGAGGCAUUACAUAUUCUUCGAAUAAUGCCUCAAGUAUUCUGUUAUAUGGAUGAAGCAUAUUAUUCAUCUACCUAUUCCAUUCUUUUUUUUUUUUUUUUUUUUUUUUUUUUAAAGACAGACAGAGUCUUGCCCGGUCCCCCAGGCUGGAGUGUAGUGUCGUGAUCUCAGCUCACUGCAGCCUCUGCCUCCUGGGUUUGAGUGAUCCUCCCAGCUCAGCCUCCUGAAUAGCUGGGCGUGCACCACCAUGCCCAGCUAAUUUUUGUAUAGUUGUAGACACUGGGCCUUGCCAUGUUGCCCAGGCUGGUCUUGAACUCCUGGGCUCAAGAGAUCUGCCGGCCUCAGCCUCUGAAAGUGCUGGGAUUACAUGUGUGAGCCACCGCGCCUGGCCCCUCUUUUUCACAUUUUAAGUUGCUUCCAAUUUUCUUCUACUAUAAAAAAUGUGAUAAACAUAUAGUAUAUGACUCUGUCCACAUCUCUCACAUUUUCUUACAGUCGACUUUAGACAUAAUGACCUUCAUGAAGUUUUCAUAAACAUUAUCAAUAGCGUAAUAAAUCCCCCAAUACAAUGGCUGGUGCACAGCAGGCAUUCAAGAAUUGUUACCUAUAAAUAGGAAAUCAAGUAGGUGAGAGAACAGACCAAUUCUGUCACAGCAGAGGGCUGGGAAAGAUAUCUGCUCCACCUCUUCAGGGCAGGAUGUAACUGGGCAGUCUAGGGUAAGAGGGAUGAGAAGAAAUGGGGAUGCUUUUGCUCCCCAGUGCAGGUGGACCUGCCAAUACCUAGAAUGAAAUGAUUCCUUGCUUUGAACCAAACAUGCCAAUACUACCCUCUCUGACACCCUCUCAGAUGUGCCCUCUCCUUGGUCCUUAGGAUCUCCUGUAAGCACUCAUCUUCAUCAGGGGAGGUGGGGAUUCCAAUGGCAUUGAGUACACACUUGAUUCAGAGCCUUCAUGCAGCUGAAACUGUGAUCAGAGAACAAACAACAUGAAUCACCAUGUUCUCAAAGAUGAUUUAUUGGCUAUCCUCACUCAUGGGAAAAAGAAAAACGUAAAUGAAAUCAAAACAAAACAAGAUGAAAAUUGAUACAAA